AGAGAAACCCUGACUUGAAAAAAAAAAAACAAAAAACCAACAACAACAACAAAAAAGAAAUUAUGCACACUAUAGAAGAAAUUAUACACACACUGAAGAAAAAUACACACUAGCACAAGUAUAACACAUCCACAAACCAUACCUGGAAGUUUAUUAAAUUAACUGUGCUUCUGAACACACGACCGAGGAAGGAAAUAAUUUUCACUGUGUAUCUUUCUGGUUUGUUAUUUUUAAAAAUUUGUUAUUUUCACAAGAAGCCAAGAGGAAGAUAGAUACUUUUCAGGUUUUCCCCUCUGGCCAAAACCUUUCUGAGAGAAGAUCCCAAACCCACUUAGGAAAGCACCUUCUCACAGUACCCAGGAUCUUCACAUGACUGGCAUCUAGAAAUAAACUUUAAGUUAUUAGGGGGUUAAUUUCCAAGGUUACUUCUGAGCGACAGCCCAGUUCCACAACCGACCUGCCUUAUAAACGCUAUCAGUUUCUGGAAACCACUUGCUCAGCACAAAGCUCUUCUCCUCAAGUAAACACUCAAGUUAGUUUUUCCUUUUCCAUUGUCCCGAGCACGUUACAUCCACCCUCCCCGUUACUAUCCUCAACCUCAGCCCUUAAUGCAACGGCAAGCCCCGUUACCCACACCAGCAGUUGUUGAAUGUUAGAAGUCAACCAGCGUUCCCUCUCCCAAUUCUCUCGCUAGCUCCAAGUUAUAAUUUACUUAUUUUGUUUUGCUGUUGUUUUGUUUUGGAGACAGGUUCCUUCAAAAUAGCCUUGGCUGGCGUGGGACUCGCCAGGUAACUCAAACCGGCCUCUAACUUGGAGCAAUUGUUCUGCCUCUGCCCUUCGAGGGGUGCGAUGACCGAGGUGCGCCACCACGCCCUGUUAUCCGCUGUACUCUGGCUGCCCUCAGACCCGGUCAUCCACCCUCAUGGACCUGCAAUAAGCUGGAGGAGACCUGCUCAAGGGUUCAAAGAUAGGAGGUGCAGCUAGGCUCCAACUCAGCAAAAGACGCCCGGAGUGAGGCCGGGAGCCGCCCAGGAGCAGCGGAAGUGGACUUCCCGCCAGUGGAGGUCAAGGCGGGGCGGGGCACGGAGCAAAUAUAACACAUGGUCCUCGCCCAGGCCAGGACACGGAGGAAGCAGACGGAAGGAAGGAGCGGAGCAUCUACCUCCGCAGGGCCCACGUCGUCGUCCGAGUUAAUACGAACCAGGAGCCCAAGACCACAGUCCGCUACCGAGUCCGGAAAAGGGACGCCAGCUCUUUAUCGCGGGACUUCCGGGUUGUUGCCGGAAGCGGAAGUUGAUUGAGGGACUAGCGUAGCGGCAGCGUCGCUCUAGACCUCAACCGUGUCACGCUAGUCUAUGGUUUUAACUCGCCUCUUCUCCAUGCUUCGGGGCCAAGCGCUGUUUGGGCUUCGCCUUCCUCCGCCCGCUGACCCAGUGGUAAAAAGAGAAGAGAUGAGCAGGGAUUCCUCUAGUCUCCGAGGCCACACCCUGGAACCUCUGAUGCCACUCCAGAAAGACGAAAGGGGUAGUGGCUUGUUCCACCUUGGGUGGGGUCACUCCCGCUGAGGCUUGGCGCGGUCUACUGGACAAGCCCAGUGUCCUACUUUGCUUUCUGUUGCUGUGAUAAACACUGUGAUUUGAAGCAACCCGGAAAGAAAAGAGUUUGUUACAGUUGACACGUUACAGUCACACCACCCGAGGAAACCAGGGCAGGAGCUCGGAGCCGAAGCCAAGGAGGAACGUUGCUUACUGGUGUGAGGGCAUGCCUGAUACCCACGGAGGCCAGAAAACAAGCAGUGGAUCCCAUGGAAGUGGACUUAAAGACAUUGUGAGACACCAUGUGGGUACUGAGAAUCUAAGCCAGACCAUCUGGAAGGCCAGCUCUUAACCUCUGAACCAUUUCCCCAGCCAACUUUCUUAUACAGCCCAGGACCACCUUCCUGGUGACAGCACUACUACAGUGGGCCUGGACCUACUAUAUCAGUUAGCAACGAAGAAAACACCUCGGCUGGGAGGUGUUGGCCCAGCACUAGGGAGGCAGAGGUAGGCUGAUGUACAGACUGAGUUUCAGGACAUCCAGGGCUACACAGAGAAACAGGGGUAGGGGUAUGAAUGGGAAAAGGGACUAAGACUCUUCCCUCUGGCCCUGUUCUACCUAUGGGAACAACGGAGAGCCCCCCCCUCCUCACCUCUACAAUCAUGUUUCCACCUCCCGCCACACUCAAUCUGGUUUCCCUGCCUGCAGAUUGGGAGGGUAGACUCCACCCUAGGCUUCCAGCAUUCUCUGUGCACUGCUCCAGCAGACGGUAGGGGUUACCCAGGAGGGACACACUUUGCACUAAAGAGUGGGCCUGAUUUUGGAGGUUUAGACAUUUGUAUGAAAGUACAAAUGCUGUGGCUCCGUGCAGAAUGCCUGCCCCUCACGGUAAGAUUUGCACUGCAUGCAGAACCCCACAGUCUUGCCUCCCCAUCCUCUCCGGGGACUCCUUUCUUCUUGUGAUUUUUGUAAACCUGAAGGGAUCGACAGCUGGUCCCCAAGUGUGGUUCUCUUUCCUGAGUCCUGUUCACCCAGGUUCCAGCUCAAAUGUAGCAUCUUCCAUGCAGCCCUUACCAUUCCCAUCUGCUCAGGAGUGUGCCAUCUGUCCCUUUUCAUCCUCAUGACCGACACCAGCCACCUGGGGAGGUUUUGGCUCAUGAUGGACCACCUCUGCCACAGUGGGUCUGUGAGAUAAUGCCACGUAGGCCAUCUGCAUAGAUGGCUGAAAUGAUGAUGGAGGUAGGAGGAGGUAACAUGGUGAUUAGGACUUGGCAGGGUACUAGGUACAGGAAGCCCAUAGGAGUAUAUUCUAGGAUGUGGGAGCAGAGACAGAAUCAGCUAAGGACCCAUAUCCUU